CCUACGGGUGGCAGCAGUGAGGAAUAUUGGUCAAUGGGCGCGAGCCUGAACCAGCCAAGUCGCGUGAGGGAAGACGGUCCUAUGGAUUGUAAACCUCUUUUGUCGGGGAGCAAAAGACGCCACGCGUGGCGUUCCGAGAGUACCCGACGAAAAAGCAUCGGCUAACUCCGUGCCAGCAGCCGCGGUAAUACGGAGGAUGCGAGCGUUAUCCGGAUUUAUUGGGUUUAAAGGGUGCGCAGGCGGAAGAUCAAGUCAGCGGUAAAAUUGAGGGGCUCAACCUCUUCGAGCCGUUGAAACUGGUUGUCUUGAGUGAGUGAGAAGUAGGCGGAAUGCGUGGUGUAGCGGUGAAAUGCAUAGAGAUCACGCAGAACUCCGAUUGCGAAGGCAGCAUACCGGCGCUCAACUGACGCUCAUGCACGAAAGUGUGGGUAUCGAACAGGAUUAGAUACCCCUGUAGUC
rnacentral:rRNA from 1 species